rnacentral:rRNA from 1 species
UACAGAGGUCCCAAGCGUUGUUCGGAUUCAUUGGGCGUAAAGGGUGCGUAGGUGGCGCCGUAAGUCAGGUGUGAAAUCUCGGGGCUUAACUCCGAAACUGCAUUUGAUACUGCGGUGCUUGAGGACUGGAGAGGAGACUGGAAUUUACGGUGUAGCAGUGAAAUGCGUAGAGAUCGUAAGGAAGACCAGUGGCGAAGGCGGGACUCUGGGCCGAUACUGACGCUGAGGAGCGAAAGCGUGGGGAGCGAACAGG